AUACUUACUUAAUGCCGGGAACUCCGAGAUCAGGAGGACGGAAACCCCAAAAGGACGCCUUUGCAUUGCUCUUCGGAAAAGCUGAGACUUGCCACUCUUCUAAGCUGGGAAAGAUGUGGCAUGUGAUUUUUGGUAGAUUUUGCUAAUUUAUCAUACGAAUC
rnacentral:snRNA from 13 species